CGCUGGCGGCGUGCCUAAUACAUGCAAGUCGAACGCUAGUCGCGGACCUGAUCACUUCGGUGAGACGUAAAGCAUAUGGCUAGAGUGGCGAACGGGUGAGUAACACGUGGACAACCUGCCUCUAAGCAGGGGAUAACAUUUGGAAACAGAUGCUAAUACCGUAUAACAACACAUUUCGCAUGAAGUGUGUUUAAAAGGGGCUUCGGCCUCACUUAGAGAUGGAUCCGCGGUGCAUUAGUUAGUUGGUGAGGUAAAGGCUUACCAAGACGAUGAUGCAUAGCCGAGUUGAGAGACUGAUCGGCCACAUUGGGACUGAGACA
rnacentral:rRNA from 1 species